rnacentral:rRNA from 1 species
UACGUAGGUGGCAAGCGUUGUCCGGAUUUACUGGGCGUAAAGAGCGCGCAGGCGGUCGUUCAAGUCGCGUGUGAAAGCCCCCGGCUCAACUGGGGAGGGUCACGCGAUACUGAUCGACUGGAAGGCAGGAGAGGGUAGUGGAAUUCCCGGUGUAGUGGUGAAAUGCGUAGAUAUCGGGAGGAACACCAGUGGCGAAGGCGACUACCUGGCCUGGUCCUGACACUCAUGAGCGAAAGCGUGGGGAGCGAUCCGG